ACCGGAGUUGUAAUUGUGCGGUCAUAUAGAAAACAUAACACAUUUUCUUCCCUCCGAGCAAAACAAAUAAGAACCCUAGAAAUACAAAACUGGUUGUAUGACACCAACUCUCUGUAAACCUUACUCGGACGUGUAAAUCGUUCAUUUCAAUUUCAAGGUAUUUUCUCAACUUUUCAUUUUCCAAUUGUAAUCUAAAUCUACCACCACUUUACUCAGAUUUUAUUUAUUUUGUUCUCAUAUUUGUGUUCAUUUCAAUAUUGAUGUUUAAUUUAGCGCAUGAUAUAAUGAUUCCACCCAACACCAAGAGAGCAAAGCAUGAUGAUAAUGAUAAUGAAGAAGAUAGACUCAGUGACUUACCCGAUUGUGUUCUCCUUCAUAUUUUGUCAUUUUUGAAAUCCAAAUGUGCCGUUCAAACUUGCAUUUUGUCCCCAAGAUGGAAGAAUCUUUGGAAAUAUAUUCCUACCCUUAUAUUGCAUUCCUCUGAAUUUAGAACCGCAAAGAAAUUAGGCAUGUUUGUGACUAAGAUUUUGACUCUUCGUGAUACAUCAACUGCACUGCACGCUCUCGAUUUUAAGCGUAUAGCCAGUUUUGAGCCUCAACGGACUCUCAAAGAGAUUGUGAACUAUGUUUGUUCCCAUGAUACCCAGCUCAAGCAAUUAAGAAUCUCCGUUAAAGGUGAUAUUAGUAUCAUUUUGCCUCGCAUUUCUUCAUGUCAGGCUCUUACAUCUCUUAAGCUCUCUGUUUAUGGUAAAGGUGUAUCUAAUUGUGAAAGAACAUUAUUUCCAAAACACCUGAAUUUUCCAGCAUUGACUAGCUUGGAUCUAUCUAAUUUUGCCUUUUGCGCAAAUGACAAUGCUGAUCAUGCCGAACCAUUUUCAUCCUUUAGCAGACUGAAUAAUUUGAUCAUUUCUAGAUGUAGCGUAAGGGAUGCUUCAAUUCUAACCAUAUCAAGUGCGACCAUUGUACAUUUAACUAUGUGUAGUAAUAGCUCAUCUGACUUUACCAAAAUCGAGCUAUCCGCUCCAAGUCUUGAUACCAUUACUUUUUAUGGUACUCCUAGUCAGAGACUGUAUGGAAGCAGUCUUUCUUCAGUUAAACAAGUAAAUAUUGAUGAAGACAUAUUUAUAAGAAUUGGGGAGCCUCAUUUGAUUCUAUUAAGCUGGCUGCAAGACCUGGAUAAUAUAAAAN
rnacentral:lncRNA from 1 species